rnacentral:piRNA from 1 species
GAGGAGCCUGGGAGCCGUGAACCUUCAAGGA